rnacentral:rRNA from 1 species
UACGUAGGUGGCGAGCGUUGUCCGGAUUUACUGGGCGUAAAGGGCGUGCAGGCGGUUUGUUAAGUGCAGGGUGAAAGCUCCCGGCUCAACUGGGAGAGGUCCUUGCAUACUGGCGAACUCGAGGGAGGCAGAGGAAAGUGGAAUUCCCGGUGUAGUGGUGAUAUGCGUAGAGAUCGGGAGGAACACCAGUGGCGAAGGCGGCUACCUGGACCAGCACUGACACUGAGGCACGAAAGCGUGGGGAGCAAACAGG